UGUUUCCAUCCGACAUACAAUUAAUCAUCAUAUUCUGAUUGAAUUCGUCUGUAUCUGGAAAACGGCGCAGGACCGGAAGCCAAAUCCAACAAUUUCGACAGCAGUUGAAUGCGUCUCGAGUACAGUGGAAACAAGGCGGUCCGGGACACGGUAGUUUUUACUAAUCAGUUUCAGGAAAUCAAAGGUGGUGCUCUACGAUGGAAACAGAUGACCAAUCUGGAUAAAAUUGGAAAUGUCGCAAUCGGUAGUUGUGCUCAACUCAGAGCUGGGAUUUAUAAAAAAAAAACCGUUACAACAAAUCGGGUUUGAAAACCCUUGCUGAUGAGGUUUACCAAUAUCACAACGAUAACGAGUGCAUAAUGUUUUUUCAAAGCCUGGAUGUGUUCAUUUGAAAUCAGAUUGCUUUAACUACAAAACAUGGACAGGUAAUAAUCAUGCUGCAUUCCACUGAAAAGUUUAAAUAAUUAAAAACCUUUUUCCUGAAAACAUAUAGGAUCAGUUUUGACUCGCUAAUAUGGCCACAUGAUGAUACAUUUUUUAACCGAAUUUAAAGAAGAUUUGGGUGACAUGUGAAGGAACAGCUCUACUGGUCGAUGACUUAGAUCCUCUGAUUUAUCCACUGGAUUUGGCUCUAGAUGGUCGAAGGUUGUGAGGCCGGUCACCGGUCAGACAUCGUCGGAUAUCGUUAACAGUUUCCAGAUGCACUGGAAAAUUUUUGAUAUCGACUUUACAGCAGGAGCAUCAUCAUUGGUUAUCCGAAAAGGAACACAAUCUUAAAUGGAACAGGAACACUUAUAAGGAACGUUAAAAACAAAGUGUGAUAUGAUUACAAAUUAAUGUUGAGUAGAAACAACAAAA